rnacentral:lncRNA from 1 species
GGCAGGGCCUGUCCCGCCUGGGGAGACUGCGCCCGGGAUAAUAGGAGCGCUUGGCCUCUGAGACUACCCGGCAGAAGGGACGUCCCCAAAUGACACUCGGAGGCCGCCUCCCUGGGCUCCGGUGCUCGGUGCCGGGAGGAGCGGCACGGCUUUCUACCCCGCCUCAGGUGCGCCAGCACGUUUUCUGGGCAGCAUCUGUGUGUUAGGCGACCGGAGAGGUGGGUUCCUUAUAGGGAAUAAGAAAACUGAAACUGACUUCCAACUGCAGGCAGAAGGAAGCAGUGGUCAUUGCUGGAGGUUAAAACUGUUCUGACCGGGCGCAGUGGCUCACGCCUGUAAUCCCAGCACUUUGGGAGGCUGAGGCGAGCAGAUCACGAAGUCAGGAGAUCAAGACCAUCCUGGCCAACAAGGUGAAACCCCGGCUCUACUAAAAAUACAAAAAUUAGCUGGGCGUGGUGGCGCGCGCCGGAAGUCCCAGCUACUUGGGAGGAUGAGGCAGAAGAAUCGCUUGAACCCGGGAGGCGGAGGUUGCGGUGAGCCGAGAUCGCGCCAUUGCACUCCAGCCUGGCGACUCAGCGAUACUCCGUCCCCCUCCCCCCGCCCCAAGAAAAAUCUGUUCUGUGGGGAGCGACAAGGAAGGAGCUUUCAGCCCGACGGGGGUCGCAGGGAAGAAUUCAAGAUGGCGUGUUUAGGAGCUCUAGCUCCUUGACAAAUUAGUAAAAUGUUCGUCUUAGGAGAAGAACGAAAAGGCUCUCCUAGGCUAAGAAACAGCAUACACAGUGAGAAACCUCAGAAGAAAUAAAAUUCAAGGAAGAUAGCAACAACGAAAACAUCAGAAGGAACACUAAAGUAGUCAAAUCAGCUUAGCAGAAACAAACUAAGUACGUUAACCAAUGGAAAACUGACGGAGAGAAAUAAACUGUUUUUGCACGCUAAAUGGAAAUGACUUUUGAAUUAUCUGCUUUGGAAGAUUAUCCAUGACACUGUUCUGCCCUGCUCUGCUCUAACAACAUUUAGGUACGAAGUAGAGAUGAGACUUCAUCAACAUCUCGAAGGUUUUUUGUAGAACAACGUACCAAAUUAGGAAGAAUCUCAUGAGCUUUUCUGCAAGCUAUUUCAUAACCUUCUAUGACCUCUGAAACUGACAGGCCAAUCCUCAGAAGUUCUUCAGCUAAUUCCAGGAGAGCUCCAGCAAAUACCAGAACAAAAUUUGUGCCAUCUCCAACUUCUUGCUCUUGCAUAUCAGAAGCCAUUACAGUCAUUUUUGCAGCAGGAUGCUGUACUUCUAGUUCUCUUAAAAUAGUCGCUGCAUCAUUUGUCACAAACAACUUCUCCAAGUGGUUGAUAACCAUUUUUUUCAUUCCAUUUCGUCCAUAUGCUGUACGAGUGGUUUGGGCAAGCUCCUUGCAAGCUUGUAUGUUUCUAUACACAGCCUCUUCUAAUUCUGAAAAGUGUUUCGCUCCCUCCUUGAGCAUCUGGGCGAAGCCCGGAGCCUUGGGAACUUGAAGCGCCAUGGCCAGCCUGCAGGAAGCCGUUCACGUGACCUCUCAGAAGACCGCGGAGGAAGCAAAGGUUUUCAUGCCUGAUGAACCUGGAGAUACAUUCAGUCACUCUUCCAUC